rnacentral:rRNA from 1 species
AUUAGAGUUUGAUCCUGGCUCAGGAUGAACGCUAGCGGCAGGCCUAAUACAUGCAAGUCGAACGGUAAGGUCCCGCUUGCGGGAUACACGAGUGGCGCACGGGUGAGUAACGCGUAUGCAACCUACCUACCUUUAACAGGAGGAUAGCCCCGAGAAAUCGGGAUUAAUACUUCAUAACAAUAUGAGACGACAUCGUUUUAUAUUUAAAGCUCCGGCGGUUAAAGAUGGGCAUGCGUGACAUUAGAUAGUUGGUGAGGUAACGGCUCACCAAGUCUGCGAUGUCUAGGGGUUCUGAGAGGAUUAUCCCCCACACUGGUACUGAGACACGGACCAGACUCCUACGGGAGGCAGCAGUAAGGAAUAUUGGGCAAUGGACGAAAGUCUGACCCAGCCAUGCCGCGUGCAGGAUGACAGCCCUAUGGGUCGUAAACUGCUUUUAUAAGAGAAGAAACCCCUCUACGUGUAGAGGGCUGACGGUAUCUUACGAAUAAGGACCGGCUAACUCCGUGCCAGCAGCCGCGGUAAUACGGAGGGUCCAAGCGUUAUCCGGAUUUAUUGGGUUUAAAGGGUGCGCAGGCGGCUUAUUAAGUCAGUGGUGAAAUCUCUCGGCUCAACCGAGAAACUGCCAUUGAAACUGAUAAGCUUGAGUGUAGUUGUAGUAGGCGGAAUAUAGCAUGUAGCGGUGAAAUGCUUAGAUAUGCUAUAGAACACCGAUCGCGAAGGCAGCUCACUAAACUAUAACUGACGCUCAGGCACGAAAGCGUGGGGAGCAAACAGGAUUAGAUACCCUGGUAGUCCACGCCGUAAACGAUGAUAACUCGAUGUUGGCAAUACACCGUCAGCGUCCAAGCGAAAGCGUUAAGUUAUCCACCUGGGGAGUACGAUCGCAAGAUUGAAACUCAAAGGAAUUGACGGGGGCCCGCACAAGCGGUGGAGCAUGUGGUUUAAUUCGAUGAUACGCGAGGAACCUUACCUGGGCUUAAAUGUAGAUUGACAGAUUGGGAAACCAGUCCUUCUUCGGACAAUUUACAAGGUGCUGCAUGGUUGUCGUCAGCUCGUGCUGUGAGGUGUCGGGUUAAGUCCCAUAACGAGCGCAACCCCUAUCCUUAGUUGCCAGCGAGUAAUGUCGGGGACUCUAAGAAAACUGCCGGCGUAAGCCGCGAGGAAGGUGGGGACGACGUCAAGUCAUCACGGCCCUUACGUCCUGGGCCACACACGUGCUACAAUGGCGAGUACAGAGGGCAGCUACCAAGUGAUUGGAUGCAAAUCUCAAAAACUCGUCUCAGUUCGGAUUGAAGUCUGCAACUCGACUUCAUGAAGCUGGAAUCGCUAGUAAUCGCGUAUCAGCCAUGACGCGGUGAAUACGUUCCCGGGCCUUGUACACACCGCCCGUCAAGCCAUGGCAGCUGGGGGUACCUAAAGUCGGUAACCGAAAGUAACUGCCUAGGGUAAAACUGGUAACUGGUGUUAAGUCGUACAAGGUAGCCGUAAAUC